rnacentral:misc_RNA from 1 species
GAUGAAUAACGUAGCGAAAUGCGAUAAGUAAUGUGAAUUGCAGAAUUCAGUGAAUCAUCGAAUCUUUGAACGCACAUUGCGCCCGCCAGUAUUCUGGCGGGCAUGCCUGUUCGAGCGUCAUUUCAACCCUCAGGCCCCCAGUGCCUGGUGUUGGGGAUCGGCCCAGCCUUCCUGUAAGGCCGCCGGCCCCGAAAUCUAGUGGCGGUCUCGCUGUAGUCCUCCUCUGCGUAGUAGCACAACCUCGCAGUUGGAACGCGGCGGUGGCCAUGCCGUUAAACACCCCACUUCUGAAAGUUGACCUCGGAUCAGGUAGGAAUACCCGCUGAACUUAAGCAUAUCAAUAAGCGGAGGA